CCUACGGGGGGCAGCAGUGGGGAAUAUUCGGCAAUGGGCGCAAGCCUGACCCAGCAACGCCGCGUGAAGGAAGAAGGCUUUCGGGUUGUAAACUUCUUUUCUCAGGGACGAAGCAAGUGACGGUCCCUGAGGAAUAAGCCACGGCUAACUACGUGCCAGCAGCCGCGGUAAUUCGUAGGUGGCAAGCGUUCUCCGGAUAUACUGGGUGUAAAGGGCGUGUAGGCGGGACUACAAGUUAGAUGGGAAAACCACGGGCUCAAACUGUGGACUGCAAUUGAAACUGUAGUUCUUGAGUACUGUAGAGGCAGACGGAAUUACUAGUGUAGCGGUGAAAUGCGUAGAUAUUAGGAGGAACACCAGUGGCGAAGGCGGUCUGCUGGACAGCAACUGACGCUGAGGCGCGAAAGCGUGGGGAGCAAACAGGAUUAGAUACCCGUGUAGUC
rnacentral:rRNA from 1 species